AUUUUGCGUCAGUCGUACUCAGACCGCAUCACCACGAGGUCUUCUUCAGCGGGCCCCACCAUGCCUCGGUCGCUUUUGCUAUUACUACUGCUUCUGUUACCUUCCCUGGGCCAUCCCGCGGCGCUACUUCCCCAGGGGUCCGUCACCACGCUGAACCGAGGCCCUGUCCCUCUUGUGGCCCCGUCAGAAGGCCGUAAGCUGCGGCGUGCUCUUAAAAUACUACUUCAGCUGAAUGAUUCUACUUUAGCUUCACUCGCUGCCUCUUCUCAAGCAUCCUGGCAGGGCGUAGACAGGCUCAGUGACCUUCUCGCCGCCCCUGUCUGGUCCACGGCACCCCUGGCACCUUCCGGAACUCUGUCACCCCAGCCGCAGCAGCCAGUAGCCAGCGCCCCCGUCAGGAGAAGGAGAAGGGCCUCCGGAACACGUCGCUACCAUCCUAGACGUUACUUGUAUUUUCUUAGUGCUGGAGAAUGUCCCCAAGCACCAGACGGCAGGCCACGUAUGUACUGCCCAACGCGCGAGUCUGACGGUCCCUGGGUGUGCGUCGACGAAGAAGAACUCUGCGACGGGGUGGAUCACUGCCCGGGAGGUGAAGAUGAAGAAGCCACUCACUGUCUCUUCCAUACCGCUAUGCGUGGCCACAUGGAUAUCUUAACUAAGUACGUGAUGUUAUCCAAACUUACCUGAGUGUGAUUCACUAACACCACACCUGCUGAACACACCUGUAACCCCUCUGUGUGUGUGUGUGUGUGUGUGUGUGUGUGUGUGUGUGUGUGUGUGUGUGUGUGUGUGUGUGUGUGUGUGUGUGUGUGUGUGUGUGUACGUGUGUAUGAAUGUUAGUAUGUAAGGUACACACACACACACACAUACACAUACGCACACACACACACACACACACACACACAUACAUGAAGGUCUGACUAGCUUGUAUAUAUAUAAUUACAAUAACUAUCAUUACUAUUAUUAUUAUUAUUAUUAUUAUUAUUAUUAUUAUUAUUAUUAUUAUUAUUACUAUUUAUUCAGUUACGUGCGUAUGUCUGUAUGUAUGUAUGUAUGUUUAUUUCUACUAUUUUUUGUACCUGUG